AUGGUGUGCCUCUGUCCCCAUGGGGUCUCCAUGCUGCUUCUACCAAAGGUUUAUUUGCAGGACAACAUGCAGAAUGGAAAACACCACAUUAUUUCUCAAGGAAAUCACGAGCAUUUUGUGAACUACAGUGGCUACCCAAGACAACUGUCUGAUUGUGUACGGGUUGGUGGUAUUAAUUUUCUUGCCAUCAGACCCAAGGUAACAAAACAGUGUAGGGGACCUUGCACAGGGACACAGUCAGCCCUCUCUGGUGCCAUGUCUGCUCCCCCCCUUGCAGGCUGCCUAGGCCGGUCUUCUGGUAGGGCUGCUCAGCACUUCCCAGUCACUCCUGACCGACAGAUAAAUCCUAGAGAGGUACAUGGUGGCAGUUGUCUGAGGUUUUUCCAAAAGCAACAUUGUACGGGUAACUCACAGAUGGAAAUGGAUGAUGCCUUGUCUCCAGUUUAUCAAAAGGUAGGAUUCCCAUCUCCCAUUGUCAGAGGUCAGCCACGUGCAUAG
ensembl:lncRNA